UCUUAAAUUAUGGGCAAAUUUCAUCGGGAAAGCAUUUUAUUGAAAAUAAAGUAGACUAUAUGCAGUGCGUUUGCAAAUCAUGAGUUAUUUGCUCCAGUCUGGAAGCUCCAAAACUGUGUUCGUCUAGGCAUGUCUGUAAUCGGUUUAAUCUUCAUGAUGGGUUCUGGAGUUACGUUCUCGACAUACAGACGUAUUCGACGGAUACUCUGGUAACUAAGUUACAUUUGAACUUGUUUCUGUCGCACUCUUCAAAAGAGUUGCAGUUGCUUGGGUCUUCAAACUAGAGAACUUCGAAAAGGACAUAGAGAGAAUGAUUCAUUCAAAAUCUGGAUUGUAUUGGAAAAUAUCAUGAAAAUAUACCCGCCCAAUUACUAUGGUUGGUAUCCUGAUUGCAAGCUUCGUGGAAAUGUUUCUCAACCCUCCGAGUUACUACACUUGAAAGUUGGAACAAAGACGCAGACACGAAAGACGAGUUAACUUAUUCGCCAUGGACCGUGUUCAUUAUCGUAUUAUUGAUACUAAGCUCGAUGUUCUGUAUUCCGUUUUUUGCAGGUCUUGUACGUUUCUGAAUUUUCGACCCGAAAUGAUUCGGUGUGAAUUUUUACGGGAAAUAUAAAAAAAUUGAACAGAAUGAUAAUGAUGAAAUCGUAGUUACGGAAUCUGCGACUGUGUUGAAUUUAAAUUAUACGAACAAAUUUUGACUUCGCUUUGAUUUCAGCAAAUAUAUUUUGUGUUGAAGUCGCCGCUUUGGUUCCAGACUUAGUUGCACGUUUCGUGUAAUUAUUUUUAUUACUAUCAGAUGACCCCAAUGUCAAACUCGCAAUUGUUUCAAUAAAUUUAUGAACUUGCAAGCGAGUCACAUUCGAAUCUGGGGAUUGCACAACCUUGGCUUUCUUUUCUUCAAUUAUCUUUUGCCUCCACAUUUUUCAUUUUUUUAUCCGCCUCCCUCCCUUUCCUUUCCUUAUUAACCUCAACAAUUAAG